UACGAGGGGUGCAAGCGUUGCUCGGAAUUACUGGGCGUAAAGGGCGCGUAGGCGGCCUGCUAAGUCGAACGUGAAAUCCCUGGGCUUAACCCAGGAACUGCGUCCGAUACUGGCAGGCUUGAAUCCGGGAGAGGGAUGCGGAAUUCCAGGUGUAGCGGUGAAAUGCGUAGAUAUCUGGAGGAACACCGGUGGCGAAGGCGGCAUCCUGGACCGGCAUUGACGCUGAGGCGCGAAAGCCAGGGGAGCAAACGGG
rnacentral:rRNA from 1 species